UAAAUGGCAUCAUAUGCUUGGGUUAUAGUCUACUUUUUCACAUGGUAAGUUGUAUUAAGUAAUGUUCUUAAAUGGGUUAAGAAAAAUGGCUCAUUAUUACUGUAAUAAAAUAAAGGAAAAUUUAAAGUGUUUUAUUAGUGUGUGCUUGGAAAUACCUAAUGUUUCGAUAACCAACAUAGAAAUGGAUAAUGUAAUUUUCUGAUUUCAUACAAUUUGAUAGUUAUUUUACUAGAUUGUUUCAGUUAUAAAAUUAGCCAUUUCAUUCAGGCAACAGCUGCUGAGCAAUCUGUAGGAGAUUUCUCUGUUCAGGUAAAGAGGAGAACACUACAAAUGUAUGUAAAAAUGAUUUUUAUGUAUAUUUAUUUAUUUUACAGGUUUUACAAGAGCAAUAAACAGCAUCCCAUGUUUGGGUUUUAGUAAACUUUUUCAUGUGAAUAACAGCAUAGACAUGGAAAGAGAAUGCAUCCUCAAAGCAGUGUGUGUAUACUUAAAGAAGGACCAUCUACAGCUGUUCAAGGAGUACAAUGAUUGCGACUGGAUGAAUGCUAAAGAAGCCAUAGAGCAGAUGGUAAUGGGGAUCUACAUCGUCCGAUCCACAGGACACAAACCAGGAGAUAAACCUGUGGACGUUGGUAUCCUGAUUGAAGGGACCGAGGUUCUCUGCUCUUUGAACAGUGACCAUGCUGUUUGGACUUACUUACGCCUUGAACCACAGCUACCCACAAGAACUCAAGGCUUUAUUUGAGGUCAUCCAGAAAGUGUUCUUUAUCUUGGAUGGACAAAAACUUUCACCAAAGGUACAAGCCCUCAAGAACAAGAUGCUGGAGUAAGUUACCUUAUGUGUGUAUUCUCAAAAGACUAAAUCUUGACUCAAGAAGGUAUUAGCUGUGCAAAUACAUUGAAAUAUCAGUAUUGUUCAUCUUGGAUGAUAUUUUUUUGUAUUUUUUCACCUGAAAAUUUGCCUUGAAAUAAGAAUAAAGAGAAACUUGUGACAUUCACUUUGAGAACAUUUUAUUUGUGUAUUAAAUUACAUUUUGAUAGACAUGUCAAUAAGU